rnacentral:piRNA from 1 species
UAAUUACAGGUGACAUUUCCAUCAGUGAAAC